AUUUUAAUAGUUUAAAAAAAACAAUGAUAUUGUAAAUCAUAAUUAUAUAUUAACAAUUUAUUUAAAAUA
rnacentral:tRNA from 1 species